rnacentral:rRNA from 1 species
CAGGAGGGGGAUACGCCCGGCGAAAGUCGGAUUAAUACCCCAUAAAACAGGGGUCCCGCAUGGGAAUAUUGUUAAAGAUUCAUCGCUGAUAGAUAGGCAUGCGUUCCAUUAGGCAGUUGGCGGGGUAACGGCCACCAAACCUACGAUGGAUAGGGGUUCUGAGAGGAAGGUCCCCCACAUUGGAACUGAGACACGGUCCAAACUCCUACGGGAGGCAGCAGUGAGGAAUAUUGGUCAAUGGACGAGAGUCUGAACCAGCCAAGUAGCGUGAAGGAUGACUGCCCUAUGGGUUGUAAACUUCUUUUAUACGGGAACUAAAGGUUAGCCACGUGUGGUUUUUUGUAUGUACCGUAUGAAUAAGGAUCGGCUAACUCCGUG